GAGGGUGUAGCUCAGUGGUAAAGUGCAUGCCUAGCAUGCAUGAGGUCCUGGGUUCAAUCCCCAGUACCUCCA
rnacentral:tRNA from 1 species